GAGGAAAUAGCUCAAUGGUAGAGUGCACACUUAGCAUACACAAGGUCCUGGGUUCAAUUCCCAGUACCUCCA
rfam:Camelus ferus unplaced genomic scaffold scaffold993, whole genome shotgun sequence.